rnacentral:rRNA from 1 species
GAUGAACGCUGGCGGCGUGCCUAAUACAUGCAAGUCGAGCGAACAGACGAGGAGCUUGCUCCUCUGACGUUAGCGGCGGACGGGUGAGUAACACGUGGAUAACCUACCUAUAAGACUGGGAUAACUUCGGGAAACCGGAGCUAAUUCCGGAUAACAUGUUGAACCGCAUGGUUCAACAGUGAAAGACGGUUUUGCUGUCACUUAUAGAUGGAUCCGCGUCGCAUUAGCUAGUUGGUAAGGUAACGGCUUACCAAGGCAACGAUGCGUAGCCGACCUGAGAGGGUGAUCGGCCACACUGGAACUGAGACACGGUCCAGACUCCUACGGGAGGCAGCAGUAGGGAAUCUUCCGCAAUGGGCGAAAGCCUGACGGAGCAACGCCGCGUGAGUGAAGAAGGUCUUCGGAUCGUAAAACUCUGUUAUUAGGGAAGAACAAAUGUGUAAGUAACUAUGCACGUCUUGACGGUACCUAAUCAGAAAGCCACGGCUAACUACGUG